UCGUUGAUCCGGCCAAAUCGACU
rnacentral:siRNA from 1 species